CUAGUACUCCCUCCGUCCAACAAAUGAUGUCUCAAGUUUGUCAAAAUUUGGAUGUAUCUAGACAUAAGUUAGUGUAUAGAUGCAUUCAAAUUUAGUCAAAGUUGAGACAUCUUUUGUUGGACGGAGGGAGUAAAAC
rfam:Brachypodium distachyon strain Bd21 chromosome 4, whole genome shotgun sequence.